rnacentral:rRNA from 1 species
AACGAACGCUGGCGGCAUGCCUAACACAUGCAAGUCGAACGAGACCUUCGGGUCUAGUGGCGCACGGGUGCGUAACGCGUGGGAACCUGCCCUUAGGUUCGGAAUAACUCCCCGAAAGGGGUGCUAAUACCGGAUAAUGUCUUCGGACCAAAGAUUUAUCGCCUUUGGAUGGGCCCGCGUUGGAUUAGCUAGUUGGUAGGGUAAAAGCCUAUCAAGGCGACGAUCCAUAGCUGGUCUGAGAGGAUGAUCAGCCACACUGGGACUGAGACACGGCCCAGACUCCUACGGGAGGCAGCAGUGGGGAAUAUUGGACAAUGGGCGAAAGCCUGAUCCAGCAGUGCCGCGUGAGUGAUGAAGGCCUUAGGGUUGUAAAGCUCUUUUACCCGGGAUGAUAAUGACAGUACCGGGAGAAUAAGCGCCGGCUAACUCCGUG